UACAGAUGGUGCGAGCGUUAUUCAUAUUGAUUGGGCGUAAAGGGUAUGUAGGCGGCACCAAAAAGUUUUGCUCAAAAGGCUGGAGUCGUAACUUCAGGUGGAAGCUUUGAGACUAUUGGGCUAGAGUUAAUAACAGGGUCGGAGGAAUUUCCAGCGAAAAAGUUAAAUUUGCUAUUCUGGAAAAGAACGCCGAAAGUGAAGGCAUCUCUCUAGUGUUAACUGACGCUGAGGUACGGAAGCGUAGGGAGCAAACAGG
rnacentral:rRNA from 1 species